UGCUAUGAUGAUGUAAUUUGCGUCUUACACAGCGUUCAGUGACAGUUGCCUGUUGUCAGAAAGCUGACGCUUUAUGGUUGAUAACUACUUGUAACUGAGCA
rnacentral:snoRNA from 1 species